UAUUCUUGAGAUAAAUUUUGUAGCUUGACUGAUUCGAGUGAUUUACAUUUUUUCUUUCUAUGAUUUUAGGAUUUACAAAAGGCUUUGGUGAAGGUUCGUCGGAAAAACAAUUCAAAGAAACCUGCACAAAAGAAUGCUUAAUUGGAGUUUCUAUGCAAUAGGGGCUAAAGAUACCUGCACAAAAGAAUGCUUAAUUGGUGUUUCUAUGCAAGAGGGCUGCAAAUAACCUUUUAAAACUGUGGUUUCUGACUCUGCAUUA
rnacentral:lncRNA from 1 species